UCCUAGGCUGCUCUCGCAGCCACCAAGUUAGUUGUAGUAAAAGACU
rfam:Orchesella cincta Ocin01_Sc6234, whole genome shotgun sequence.